rnacentral:rRNA from 1 species
AGCAGUAGCCGCGGUAAUACGGAGGGUGCAAGCGUUAUCCGGAUUCACUGGGUUUAAAGGGUGCGUAGGCGGAUCUGUAAGUCAGUGGUGAAAUCUCCAGGCUUAACCUGGAAACUGCCGUUGAUACUAUAGGUCUUGAAUUUUGUGGAGGUUAGCGGAAUAUGUCAUGUAGCGGUGAAAUGCAUAGAUAUGACAUAGAACACCAAUUGCGAAGGCAGCUGGCUACACAACUAUUGACGCUGAGGCACGAAAGCGUGGGGAUCAAACAGGAUUAGAUACCCGCGUAGUCCCUGUCUCUUAUAC